rnacentral:rRNA from 1 species
AGAGUUUGAUCCUGGCUCAGGACGAACGCUGGCGGCGUGCUUAACACAUGCAAGUCGAACGGAGUACCCUCGAAAGAGAUUUCGGUCAAUGGAGAGGACUACUUAGUGGCGGACGGGUGAGUAACGCGUGAGGAACCUGCCUUUCAGAGGGGGACAACAGUUGGAAACGACUGCUAAUACCGCAUAACGUACGGGUAUCGCAUGGUACUGGUACCAAAGAUUUAUCGCUGAGAGAUGGCCUCGCGUCUGAUUAGCUAGUUGGUAGGGUAACGGCCUACCAAGGCGACGAUCAGUAGCCGGACUGAGAGGUUGGCCGGCCACAUUGGGACUGAGAUACGGCCCAGACUCCUACGGGAGGCAGCAGUGGGGAAUAUUGGGCAAUGGGCGCAAGCCUGACCCAGCAACGCCGCGUGAAGGAAGAAGGCUUUCGGGUUGUAAACUUCUUUUGACAGGGAAGGGCAGAAGACGGUACCUGUCGAAUAAGCCACGGCUAACUACGUG